rnacentral:rRNA from 1 species
GAUGAACGCUAGCGGCAGGCUUAACACAUGCAAGUCGAGGGGCAGCACGGGUAGCAAUACCUGGUGGCGACCGGCGCAAGGGUGCGUAACGCGUGAGCAACAUGCCCUAUACAGGGGGAUAAUCCAGGGAAACUUGGUCUAAUAUCCCAUAGUAUUUAGAGGAGGCAUCUUCUAUAAAUUAAAGCUUCGGUGGUAUAGGAUUGGCUCGCGUGACAUUAGCUAGAUGGUGAGGUAACGGCUCACCAUGGCAAUGAUGUCUAGGGGUUCUGAGAGGAAGGCCCCCCACACUGGGACUGAGACACGGCCCAGACUCCUACGGGAGGCAGCAGUGAGGAAUAUUGGACAAUGGAUGGAAAUCUGAUCCAGCCAUGCCGCGUGCAGGAAGACAGCCCUAUGGGUUGUAAACUGCUUUUAAUGGGGACAAUAGGUACGUGUAGACUGAUGAGAGUACCCAAUAUAGAAGUAAGACACG